GGGUUGUGAGGUUAAGCGACUAAGCGUACACGGUGGAUGCCCUGGCAGUCAGAGGCGAUGAAGGGCGUGCUAAUCUGCGAUAAGCGCCGGUAAGGUGAUAUGAACCGUUAUAACCGGCGAUACCCGAAUGGGGAAACCCAGUGUGACUCGUCACACUAUCAUUAACUGAAUCCAUAGGUUAAUGAGGCGAACCGGGGGAACUGAAACAUCUAAGUACCCCGAGGAAAAGAAAUCAACCGAGAUUCCCCCAGUAGCGGCGAGCGAACGGGGAGGAGCCCAGAGCCUGAAUCAGCAUGUGUGUUAGUGGAAGCGUCUGGAAAGGCGCGCGAUACAGGGUGACAGCCCCGUACACAAAAGCGCAUGUGCUGUGAGCUCGAUGAGUAGGGCGGGACACGUGGUAUCCUGUCUGAAUAUGGGGGGACCAUCCUCCAAGGCUAAAUACUCCUGACUGACCGAUAGUGAACCAGUACCGUGAGGGAAAGGCGAAAAGAACCCCGGCGAGGGGAGUGAAAAAGAACCUGAAACCGUGUACGUACAAGCAGUGGGAGCACCCUUUGGGUGUGACUGCGUACCUUUUGUAUAAUGGGUCAGCGACUUAUAUUCUGUAGCAAGGUUAACCGAAUAGGGGAGCCGGAGGGAAACCG
rnacentral:rRNA from 1 species